rnacentral:rRNA from 1 species
UACGUAGGGUGCAAGCGUUAAUCGGAAUUACUGGGCGUAAAGCGUGCGCAGGCGGUUUUGUAAGACUGUCGUGAAAUCCCCGGGCUUAACCUGGGAAUGGCGAUGGUGACUGCAAGGCUAGAGUUUGGCAGAGGGGGGUAGAAUUCCGACGUGUAGCAGUGAAAUGCGUAGAGAUGUGGAGGAAUACCGAUGGCGAAGGCAGCCCCCUGGGAUAACACUGACGCUCAUGCACGAAAGCGUGGGGAGCAAACAGG